GAGUUUGAUUAUGGCUCAGGAUGAACGCUAGCGGCAGGCCUCAUACAUGCAAGUCGAGGGGCAGCAGGACACUUCGGUGUUGCUGGCGACCGGCGCACGGGUGCGUAACACGUAUGCAAUCUGCCUUGUACUGGAGCAUAGCCCUCGGAAACGAAGAUUAAUACUCCAUACAGUCUUACUAGCGCCUGCUAGUAAGAUGAAAGCUCCGGCGGUACAAGAUGAGCAUGCAUCCCAUUAGCUUGUUGGUGAGAUAACAGCUCACCAAGGCUACGAUGGGUAGGGGUUCUGAGAGGAAGAUCCCCCACACUGGCACUGAGAUACGGGCCAGACUCCUACGGGAGGCAGCAGUAGGGAAUAUUGGUCAAUGGGCGCAAGCCUGAACCAGCCAUGCCGCGUGCAGGAUGAAGGCCCUCAGGGUUGUAAACUGCUUUUGUAUGGGAAUAAAAAAGUCCUUGCGAGGACUCUUGAAGGUACCAUAAGAAUAAGCACCGGCUAACUCCGUGCCAGCAGCCGCGGUAAUACGGAGGGUGCAAGCGUUAUCCGGAUUUACUGGGUUUAAAGAGUGCGUAGGCGGCUUCUUAAGUCAAUGGUGAAAGCUUAGCGCUUAACGCUAGAAGUGCCACUGAUACUGGGAAGCUUGAGUCAAGAAGAGGUAAGCAGAAUUCAUAGUGUAGCAGUGAAAUGCUUAGAUACUAUGAGGAAUACCAACAGCGAAGGCAGCUUACUGGUCUUGUACUGACGUUGAGGCACGAAAGCGUGGGUAGCGAACAGGAUUAGAUACCCUGGUAGUCCACGCCGUAAACGAUGAUCACUCGAUGUACACGCUAGUCGUGUGUGUCUAAGCAAAAGCAUUAAGUGAUCCACCUGGGGAGUACGCUCGCAAGAGUGAAACUCAAAGGAAUUGACGGGAGUCCGCACAAGCGGUGGAGCAUGUGGUUUAAUUCGAUAAUACGCGAGGAACCU
rnacentral:rRNA from 1 species